GCCGAGGUAGCUCAGUUGGCAGAGCACGCCCUUGGUAAGGGCGAGGUCGGGAGUUCAAUCCUCCCCCUCGGCU
rnacentral:tRNA from 2 species